rnacentral:misc_RNA from 1 species
UCAAACUUGGUCAUUUAGAGGAAGUAAAAGUCGUAACAAGGUUUCCGUAGGUGAACCUGCGGAAGGAUCAUUACUGAAGUGCUUUGGAGAUGUUUGCUGGCUUCUCUUUUGAAGCAAUGUGCACUCUCCGGACUUUCACUUAUCUCCUUUAAACCCUUGUGCAUCCCUUGUAGGGGCUUUCCUCCCCCUCUCUCGAAGGGGGAAGGUUAGACUCUAUGUCUAUUUUUUGAUAACACCCCUUUGAAUGUAUGUGCAUGUUGCUAUUGUAUUAAAAACAACUUUCAACAAUGGAUCUCUUGGCUCUCGCAUCGAUGAAGAACGCAGC